UGCAGCGAGAUAGUGAUGCC
rnacentral:siRNA from 1 species